rnacentral:rRNA from 1 species
UACGGAGGGAGCUAGCGUUGUUCGGAUAUACUGGGCGUAAAGCGCACGUAGGCGGCGCCGUAAGUCAGGGGUGAAAUCCCGGAGCUCAACUCCGGAACUGCCUUUGAAACUGCGGUGCUAGAAUCCUGGAGAGGCGAGUGGAAUUCCGAGUGCAGAGGUGAAAUUCGUAGAUAUUCGGAAGAACACCAGUGGCGAAGGCGACUCGCUGGACAGGUAUUGACGCUGAGGUGCGAAAGCGUGGGGAGCAAACAGG